rnacentral:rRNA from 1 species
CCUACGGGGGGCUGCAGUGGGGAAUUUUGGACAAUGGGGGCAACCCUGAUCCAGCCAUGCCGCGUGCGGGAAGAAGGCCUUCGGGUUGUAAACCGCUUUUAGCCGGGAAGAAAAGGCGGGGGCUAACACCCUCUGUUUUUGACGGUACCGGCGGAAUAAGCACCGGCUAACUACGUGCCAGCAGCCGCGGUAAUACGUAGGGUGCGAGCGUUAAUCGGAGUGACUGGGCGCGGAGCGUGCGCUCGCGGUUGAAAGCCCCGGGCUCAACCUGGGAACGGCAUUGGAAACUGGCGGGCUGGAGUGUGGCAGAGGGGGGUGGAAUUCCGCGUGUAGCAGUGAAAUGCGUAGAGAUGCGGAGGAACACCGAUGGCGAAGGCAGCCCCCUGGGCUGACACUGACGCUCAGGCACGAAAGCGUGGGGAGCAAACAGGAUUAGAUACCCUAGUAGUC